AUGGUUGUCGUCAGCUCGUGUCGUGAGAUGUUGGGUUAAGUCCCGCAACGAGCGCAACCCCUGUGGUUAGUUGCCAGCAAGUAGCGUUGGGCACUCUAGCCAGACUGCCGGUGAUAAAUCGGAGGAAGGUGGGGACGACGUCAAAUCAUCAUGCCCUUUAUGUCCUGGGCUACACACGUACUACAAUGGCCGUUACAACGGGAAGCGAAGGAGCAAUCCGGAGCAAAUCCCUUAAAGGCGGUCCCAGUUCAGAUUGUGGGCUGAAACUCGCCCACAUGAAGGCGGAAUUGCUAGUAAUUGCAGAUCAGCAUGCUGCAGUGAAUACGUUCCCGGGCCUU
rnacentral:rRNA from 1 species